CCUACGGGGGGCAGCAGUGGGGAAUCUUGCGCAAUGGGCGAAAGCCUGACGCAGCGACGCCGCGUGAGGGAUGAAGGUCUUCGGAUCGUAAACCUCUGUCAGCAGGGAAGAACGGUCACUGUGCUAAUCAGCAGUGACUUGACGGUACCUGCCCAGGAAGCACCGGCUAACUCCGUGCCAGCAGCCGCGGUAAUACGGAGGGUGCGAGCGUUAAUCGGAAUUACUGGGCGUAAAGCGCUCGUAGGCGGUAUGUCAAGUCAAGGGUGAAAUCCCCGCGCUCAACGUGGGAACUGCCUUUGAAACUGGCAAACUGGAGUGUGUGAGAGGAUAGUGGAAUUCCAGGUGUAGGAGUGAAAUCCGUAGAUAUCUGGAGGAACAUCAGUGGCGAAGGCGACUAUCUGGCACAUAACUGACGCUGAGGAGCGAAAGCGUGGGUAGCAAACAGGAUUAGAUACCCUUGUAGUC
rnacentral:rRNA from 1 species